rnacentral:rRNA from 1 species
CCUACGGGUGGCUGCAGUGGGGAAUAUUGGACAAUGGGCGAAAGCCUGAUCCAGCCAUGCCGCGUGUGUGAAGAAGGCCUUCGGGUUGUAAAGCACUUUCAGUGGGGAAGAAAGCCUUGGGGCUAAUACCCUCGAGGAAGGACAUCACCCACAGAAGAAGCACCGGCUAACUCCGUGCCAGCAGCCGCGGUAAUACGGAGGGUGCGAGCGUUAAUCGGAAUUACUGGGCGUAAAGCGCGCGUAGGCGGUCUGAUAAGCCGGUUGUGAAAGCCCCGGGCUCAACCUGGGAACGGCAUCCGGAACUGUCAGGCUAGAGUGCAGGAGAGGAAGGUAGAAUUCCCGGUGUAGCGGUGAAAGGCGUAGAGAUCGGGAGGAAUACCAGUGGCGAAGGCGGCCUUCUGGACUGACACUGACGCUGAGGUGCGAAAGCGUGGGUAGCAAACAGGAUUAGAUACCCCAGUAGUC